rnacentral:rRNA from 1 species
UACGGAGGAUGCGAGCGUUAUCCGGAUUUAUUGGGUUUAAAGGGUGCGUAGGCGGACUAUUAAGUCAGUGGUGAAAGCCUGCAGCUUAACUGCAGAACUGCCAUUGAUACUGAUAGUCUUGAGUUUGGUUAAGGUAGGCGGAAUGUGUAAUGUAGCGGUGAAAUGCUUAGAUAUUACACAGAACACCAAUUGCGUAGGCAGCUUACUGAGCCGACACUGACGCUGAGGCACGAAAGCGUGGGGAUCAAACA